CCUACGGGUGGCAGCAGUGGGGGAUCUUGCACAAUGGGGGAAACCCUGAUGCAGCAACGCCGCGUGGGUGAAGAAGCGCCUCGGCGCGUAAAGCCCUGUCAGCAGGGAAGAAAAUGACGGUAACUGAAGAAGAAGCCCCGGCGAACUACGUGCCAGCAGCCGCGGGAAUACGAAGGGGGCAAGCGUUAUCCGGAUUUACUGGGUGUAAAGGGGGCGCAGACGGUGAUGCAAGCCAGGAGUGAAAGCCCGGGGCCCAACCCCGGGACUGCACUUGAAACUGCGUGGCUAGAGUGCAGGAGGGGCAGGCGGAAUUCCUGGUGUAGCGGUGAAAUGCGUAGAGAUCAGGAGGAACACCGGUGGCGAAGGCGGCCUGCUGGACUGCAACUGACGUUGAGGCCCGAAAGCGUGGGGAGCAAACAGGAUUAGAUACCCCAGUAGUC
rnacentral:rRNA from 1 species